UAGUCCACGCCGUAAACGAUGAGAACUAGAUGUUGGGGGAAUCUGUCCCUCGGUGUCGCAGCUAACGCGUUAAGUUCUCCGCCUGGGGAGUACGCCGGCAACGGUAAAACUCAAAGGAAUUGACGGGGACCCGCACAAGCGGUGGAGCAUGUGGUUUAAUUCGAUGCAACGCGAAGAACCUUACCUGCCCUUGACAUUGACAGAAUCCUGUAGAGAUACGGGAGUGCUUCGGCCUGGAAAACAGGUGCUGCAUGGCUGUCGUCAGCUCGUGUCGUGAGAUGUUGGGUUAAGUCCCGCAACGAGCGCAACCCUUGUCCUUAGUUGCCAGCACAUAAUGGUGGGAACUCUAGGGAGACUGCCGGUGACAAACCGGGAGGAAGGUGGGGACGACGUCAAGUCAUCAUGGCCCUUAUGGGGCAGGGACUACACACGUGCUACAAUGGUGCCUACAGUGAGUUAAUCU
rnacentral:rRNA from 1 species